CCUUAACCUACCCUUGACAUGUCUGGAAUGCCGAAGAGAUUUGGCAGUGCUCGCAAGAGAACCGGAACACAGGUGCUGCAUGGCUGUCGUCAGCUCGUGUCGUGAGAUGUUGGGUUAAGUCCCGCAACGAGCGCAACCCUUGUCAUUAGUUGCUACGAAAGGGCACUCUAAUGAGACUGCCGGUGACAAACCGGAGGAAGGUGGGGAUGACGUCAAGUCCUCAUGGCCCUUAUGGGUAGGGCUUCACACGUCAUACAAUGGUCGGGACAGAGGGCUGCCAACCCGCAAGGGGGAGCCAAUCCCAGAAACCCGAUCGUAGUCCGGAUCGCAGUCUGCAACUCGACUGCGUGAAGUCGGAAUCGCUAGUAAUCGCGGAUCAGCAUGUCGCGGUGAAUACGUUCCCGGGUCUUGUACACACCGCCCGUCACACCAUGGGAGUGGGUUUUACCAGAAGUAGUUAGCCUAACCGCAAGGGGGGCGAUUACCACGGUAGGAUUCAUGACUGGGGUGAAGUCGUAACAAGGUAAGCGUAGCGAG
rnacentral:rRNA from 1 species